UACGUAGGGGGCAAGCGUUGUCCGGAAUUAUUGGGCGUAAAGCGCGUGUAGGCGGCUCGGUAAGUCUGCUGUGAAAGUCCAGGGCUCAACCCUGGAACGCCGGUGGAUACUGUCGAGCUCGAGUCCGGAAGAGGCGAGUGGAAUUCCUGGUGUAGCGGUGAAAUGCGCAGAUAUCAGGAGGAACACCAAUGGCGAAGGCAGUGUCCUGGGGAGUACCUGACGCUCAGGUGCGAAAGCGUGGGGAGCAAACAGG
rnacentral:rRNA from 1 species